rnacentral:lncRNA from 1 species
AUACUAUAUAUGCAUAUAUAUGCAUGUAUAUUUUACAUUCCUAAUUUUACCCAAUUCUUUCAAAACCCCUUUAACAGAAGUAAAAAAAAAAAUCAUUGCUACUCUUCUUGGAUUAGCAGAUAUGUCAUAACACAUUUUUAAAAUUUUUAAUGUUAAGGAAAUUAUCAGAAUAAGGGUUUAGAACAAGAAAAAUAUUCAGAAAAGACCAUUCAUCCUAUUACAUGAGAAAUAAUUGAAGUGAUAGUUAGUUUAGGAACUGUCUCAUAGAAAAUAAGUAGAUCUGGGGCUGGGAUUAUGGCUCAGUGUUAGAGCUCUGACCUCCCACAUAUAAGGCCCUGGGUUCGAUCCUCAGCACCACGUAUAAAUUAAAUAAAAUAAAGUUUAAAAAAAAAAGAAAAAGAAAAGAAGUAGAUCUGACCUUACUGUCACAAGAGCACAAAAUGAGGACCAAUAGGUGGGAGCUCCAGGGGAGUAGAUUUAUAAUCAACCUAAAGAGCACGUCCCAAUGCUUUGUAUUUACUGGACAUUGAAUGGGUUUCUUUGAGAGGAUGGUGGAGUCCUAAGCACUGACUGAAUAACUGUUUUGGGAAAUGUUGAAGAGAGAAUCUUUGGAAGUUUUUUUUAAAAUACUUUUUUAGUUGUAAAUGGACACAGUAUUUUUGUAUGUAUUUAUUUUUAUGUGGUGCCAAGGAUUGAACCCAGUGCCUCACAAAUGUGAGUCGAGUGCUCUAUCACUGAGCUACCACCCCAUCCGAGAAUUUUUUGCAAGUUUGCUAAGUAUUCUGUUCCCCUCUCUCUGCAGUAGAUUAAAUACCUGUGGAACUCAGAAGUGAUCAUAUGACUUUCUCUGACCAAUGAGAUGUGAGCAAAAGUGAUAGCUGCCAUUUCCUGGCAGAAGGUUUAAGAGAAAUGAUGCAGUUUGCUGUGUCUCUUUUCCUUUACUACAAACAGCUGUCCAUGUGUGGUCAACCUGGACACUAAAUGAAUAUGGUAUGGUUCAGAACCUCAGGUGACCUCCACUAGACAUUAACAUGAACAGAAACAAACCCUUGGAUGUUUUUUGAACCAUUAGAUUUUGGGGGUUGCAUAUAAACUGAAGCACAAUGGACCCUAUCCUGACUGAUACAGACUCUUCUUGAUUUAGGUGACCCCUAAAACCAAUCCUAUACAUGAAGUUUUCAGGAUGUGAUAUCAUCUGCAGUAUUUUUUAGUUGUUUACUUCCUGUAUUUCUUCCUUAUAGUUGUGUUGUAAUUGUGAAAGGUUAUAGAGUCAAGAAAAAAAAAUCAUGAAUUGUUGGGUUGUAACUCAGUAGUAGAAUGCUUGUCUCGUAAGCAUGAAGGCCUGGUUUUAUCCCCAGUACACCCCCCCACACACACAUACACAACAUACAAGAAUCAUGAAUUGUCAAAGUUACCCUUGAAAAUAAUGAGAAACACCCACAAAACCAAAACAAUAAAUGCAGUAGUAUAUGCAUAUCUCUGUCAGUAUUAUACAUAAAUUUACAAUGAAGUUUUUGGAUUAUUUUUUAAGGAUAAUGUUGCAUGACAAUACAUAUCUUUAAAUUCUAGAAUUAUUCCUGUGUAGCAAGAUGUGCAUGUUUUAAUAUUUACCAGGAAACUAAGGACAAAGUAACUGAAGAAAUUGAAAUUGGUGUCUCCCAUUUCAUGCUGACUG